CACACACACACACACACACGCAGAGGGCUCGGAGAAAGGAAAGUAUCGCGAGAGCGGCCGGCGAACAACCUGCUCCGCCGCGGAGCGCCGCGCACAUGCGGAGCCUCAGCCCCGCCGCUCGCCGGUUAUGAAGGAAGAAUGGAGUUUCCAGACCAUAGCCGCCAGUUGCUGCAGUGUCUGAGUCAGCAGCGUCACCAGGGCUUCCUGUGUGACUGUACUGUUUUAGUUGGAGAAGCUCAAUUCAGAGCUCACAGAGCCGUUCUUGCCUCUUGCAGUAUGUACUUCCAUCUUUUCUACAGGGACCAGUUAGACAAAAGGGAUAUUGUGCAUCUGAACAGUGACAUUGUCACAGCCCCUGCCUUCAGCCUGCUGCUCGAAUUCAUGUACGAGGGAAAGCUGGAAUUCAACAGUCUCCCGGUGGAAGAUGUGCUGGCUGCGGCUAGCUACCUUCACAUGUAUGACAUUGUCAAAGUCUGCAAGGGCAAGUUGAAAGAUAAAGAAUUAUGUUCGGAAGAGAAGAUUAACGAUGAGGCGGCUAGUUUGGAGAAAGCGGAGCAUUUUCUAGACGCCGGAGUGCCCCUGGUCCACGAGUUUGACCCAGGAAACAAACAAAAAUUCAGCGUUGCAGAAUAUGAGAGAGCGGCAGGCAAAGAAAAGGUCAGCAGUCACCCCGCCUGGUCCUCUGAUCAUAUAAGUGUCAGCUCUGCGCCGACAGAGGCAGAACCGUGUGCCGCAGCAGCUGGAAAAACAAAGGCUAAUGUCAAUAGUUCCACAGGACCUUUGUCCCAAAGGUCUGUUAACCAUCCCCUGGCUUCGAGUGAUGUGGACUGUGCGCUGGAUUUGUCUUUCAAGCCCGUGCCGGGGAGAGAUUCCUUACACCCCUCCUAUGUCUUUGGACAGCUGGCCUCCGACAGCCAGCAGCAGGGUACCGAGCCACUUGUUAAAGAUGAACAAGACUUGCUGUCAGAUCAGGAGGAUGGCGAAGCCAGGAGUCCGGAGAGUCAGCAUUUUGGGAAUUCAGCCAAAAGCCUAGUGACAGGGUUAGGACACAUGUUCGCGGGGAAUGGCAGCUCUCAUGCCCGAGAGGAGGAUAUAGAUCAAGAGCGAGACGAGAGCGAGGAUGACAUGGAUUCAUCGGACAUCUCCUCAGGUGUCCUCGUGCCUCCCGGGCAUAUCUGCAUUUGCCCCCUCUGUAGCAAGGUGUUUCCGAGCCCGCACAUCCUUCAGCUGCAUCUGAGCUCUCAUUUCCGUGACAAGGACGGCUCCCGGACCCGCUUGUCCCCUGACGGGUCGGUCCCCACGUGUACCCUCUGCGGAAAGACUUUUUCUUGCAUGUACACAUUAAAGAGGCACGAGAGGACUCACUCGGGGGAGAAGCCCUACACCUGCGGCCAGUGUGGAAAGAGCUUCCAGUAUUCCCACAACCUCAGCCGCCACGCUGUGGUGCACACCAGGGAGAAACCUCACGGGUGCAAGUGGUGCGAGAGACGGUUCACGCAAUCCGGGGACUUGUACAGACAUAUCCGCAAAUUUCACUGUGGCCUUGUGAAGUCUUUGGUUGUUUGAGAUGUGGGGGGUUUUUGUUGGGUUGGUUUUUUUUUUGGUGUUUGUUCUUUUUAUCCCCCUCCUUUAAAACAAAACAGGAAGAAAAGGCGGCAUCUGAAUUAUAAUCCCUCCCCUCCUUUAUUUUAUUUUGGUGAUAUUCACUUCAGGUGUAUGGUCUUUAAAAGAUGCAGAGGUAUACACUCCAGAGGCCUUUUAAUACAAUCCUUCCACCUCUCCACCUCCCCCUUCCCCUGCUACCCUCCCUUCCCAGCACUGUCCUUUAGGUCUUCUCUUGCGCACCCAUGUUACAUUAUUAAUGUGAAAUGAUCUGAGUAAUCUUGCAAUGAUUUAGCAUCUGUUUUCAUGCUGGAAGUACUUGCUUCGUGGUCAGGAAGGGUUUUUAAUUUUGAUGUGUCUUUUUUUUUUUUAGUUUGAAAAACAGAUUAUCAGCAAAUUCUGGGGAAAAAUUUGGAUUCCAUUAAGCUUCUCUAAUGCUCUCUGUGUGUUGCAUAGAAACAUCUGAAGAGAUGAACUGUGAUUUAAACACAUUUUCAGUGUAGAGAAACUUGUCUGCGUGUUGUGGAGGCCACGUGGAAUUUUAGGCAUGUGAGGAGCAGCCGUAUCUCAGUCAGAGCCUGACUGAGCAUUUCCUUAGUCACUGGGCGAGACUAAAACCAGCGCCACUUCUGCAUUUGAACCAGAGUACCAGCGGGGUUUAAAUGGGCUCAACUCUCCCUCCCAUGCCCUGAGUGAGCUUUGGAGCAGCCCUGCCCUGCAUGGUGCUGCUCCCCAGCUGCAGGCGGAUGCUGGAGUGAUGGAUGCUGCAGUGAUGCAGUGUGCAUGGGCAGCCCAGCAAAAGGCACCGGUGCCUCCCAGCAUCCAAACACCACGCGGCUGGACAGGAGCAACGUCAGCCAGCUCACUUGAAAAGGUUCUCUUAAGUGCCAAAUCUCUCCGAAAUUUGGGAGAGCAGAGGUCUGAUACAACUCCUGCAAACGUCCACCUUAAAACUUGGAUCGACUUUGGCAGGAGUUGGAAUUAGGCAGCUCACACUUUCUUCCACCUGUGCCAGCUGCUGCUCCAGGGAGGAAAAUAAGCUGGACUGGCACGGUUCACACCGUGGUCUUGGCAGCCAUCGCACAAGCCCUGACACCUUGUUCUGCAGAGACACCUUUCUGGGUGGGAGGAGGAUGCUGAACGCCUGGCUGGCCGCCAGCUAGCGUUGAACCGCCACGCAAAUUGCAGUGUAGCUGCAAAAAACUGAGAUCGCCCACUCCUAGCAGUCUGUGCCAUCGGCUGUCUGGCAGGAUUGAUGGUUGUCACUACCGAACGCUGCUGAGAUGGAGCCAAAAUCAAAUGAGUGGAUGUCCUCGUGAGCCUGCUUGGGGAAAAAAAAAAAAGCUUCAAAAACCUAAGAACUUGUUUUCAGUUUAGAAACUAAACUAAAGAGGCUUGUUCUACUUUAUGAUUGCUUAGCUGAGAAGCGCUGGGAAACAUUCCUGCUGCAUGUGAAAUUGGAAGGUCACAGGUUUUCAGCUGUCUCUCCUUGGUACUAUUUUGGGGUGGAGGAGGCUCUGGCAGGAAGGAGGAAGCAUCUCUUCUCAUGCUAAACUGUGCCUGGGACCAGGAGGGACGAUUAACUGUGGCCAGCCCUGAUCUUAACAGCUGUGGUGUAACACUGGUUGUGGCAACAGGGAGCAGGCUGACUUCCUUUAACAUUUUCCCCUAUUCCCACAAGGACAACCAGGCCUAGGCAUGCUCUAGGUCAUGAUCUCGGUGACGGCUGAUGCGUGAUGGCAGUGAAGUAACUGGUUGUAAAUCUGCUAGGUAAAUCAUAGAAUAGUUUGAGUUGGAAGGAACCUUUAAAAGUCAUCCAGUCCAUCUCUCCUGCGAUGAGCAGGGAGGGGUUCAACUAGAUCAGAUUGCUCACAACCUCAUCCAAUCCGACCUUGAAUGUUUCCAGGAUAAAAAGUGGGGACUAUGUUUCCGAGAUAUGAGUGAGUGGUACACCCAAAGGGUUUCCGCAGAAUUCUGGUAGGAAUAUGGUACUAGAUUCUGGUUUGGCUGUAACGGCUGAAUUGAGCUAGAUCUACACCAGCAAAGCAGAAACCUGUAGUCCUGGCAUGGGGUCUGCUCACCAUUCAGUCUCUAAAUCGUUCACAAAACAAACAAGAAGUAUCUGGACCAAUGUAUCCUGAAGGAUGAGAACAACCAGGAGAAUGGUAUGCAUUAAUCUCUGCUCCUUCACCUCUUGAAAUAGGGACAAAAGGAAGGGAAGCAAGCCAGAAAGGAAGGAUGUAUGCUUCCUUUCCUCCUCUACACUGAAAAAAAAAAGGUGUUUAUUCUUCUGCCUGCUUCCUCUUUCCUUCCCUCAUGUCCGUACUGUGGUAAGACACAGAGAAUAAAAACUGUUUUCCUUGACCAUGUGUGUCAAGUCCCUCUCCUGGGAUAGCGGUGCUGUGGUGCUGCUGCUCCCUGGGCUGGGGGGCGGCUGUGGCUGGUCCUGCCUCUCCCAUUAUUCCCAUUGGUACUGGUAAUUUAUUUUAGCAGGACAGAUCUGAACUAUCCAAGCUAAUUCCAUGCACCCUGCUAGAAAAAUAGUGCAACAUAUUCUUGAGCUAUAUCAGCAGAUGUGACGCUGAAGGGUGUCUUUGAGCCUGCCUGAGCUGAAGAAAGGCCUCCUGUCUGGUGACGUGGCUUCUCCAGGAUGCAUCCUUAUGUUUUCUUCUAGUGUGAUUUGAGGGGGCUGAUCCUGGCAGAGAAGGCAUUGCUGUGCUGAUAUCCUAGUGCCUGCAGAAGGGACCAAUGAGGGGACGAGGACAUGCUUCUUUUUGUGACAUGAGCAGCACCUAUGUUGCUCAUUCCUGAGGCGGCACCAGCUCGCAGAGCUAAAAUGAAUGGUAUUUACUGGCUUGGCAGGUAGAAAGACCAUAGCUAUGCAUCCUGCAGAAAUGAGUGUAAUCUCAACAAGAUGCCGAGCACCACCUGCGUGGUCCUGCCUGGUGCAAAAUGAGUGGAGAAAUCAGCCAGAAGGAUGCAAUGGCAGCAGCAAGGCAGGGACCAUGUCCCGUGCCCUGUAGCCCAGCAUUUCUUCAGGGUCAUACCCUCUGAGUGAUUAAUCCCUCCCCACUGCCCCAAGUGGGGAGGUGAAGCUAUCCUCUACUUCAAGAGCAUCCACUCAGCCAGCAAUCUCUGCUCUUCAGAUGGGCUAUAAAUAUUUACACGAGGAAGCACAGGAACACUGUUCUGAGCUAACACCAUGAUUUAUAAACCUAAAUUACCCACAUUAGUCGAGAUCUCAGUUUGGAGCUUACCUAUAGAGUGUGUUUGAGACAAAUGCUUCCUACCGCCUUGAGCAGGUGCUUCCUCUUUGUGUUGCCUUCAGGAAGGAUGCUCUCCUUGAGCUGCCUCCUUCCCGACUGCUGUCCCAGCUCCAGAGCAGCUUUGCAACCUCAUGACCACCUUCAGCCAGGAAGAUCCUUUCUUCACUUCUCUGCAAUAGAGAAAACCAGGUUUGAGCAUUAUGUCUAUCAUAUGCAGGAACUGCAGAAUAUGUCUAUCUAAUGCAGGAACACGGAGCAUUUACUGGCCACUUGUUUGUAUCCUGUCAAAGAUGACAUUUUGUUUGGUUCCUUCUCCCUUUACCCUGUUAGUUUGGAUAGUAUCUUUAUAUUAAGCAGCGAAAGAGAAGAAUGAAGAUUUAAACUCAUUUAACCUUGAACAUAGCCAUUAGUUAAGCAAUUAAAAUUAAAGGGUGAGUUAAUGGGCAGUGUCAAACAUUCGGAGAAACAUCUGUUGUAAUAGAAGUCUGCCUUUUAGCUGAUGAAUAAUUGAUCUGCUGUUUGUUAGCACCUAAGUCCAGACAAGGCAGCAGCACUAGCACUGCUGGGGCAUCUCCAGAGCUUGCUUGCCAGCCACAGGCUCCAGGAGAGCAGGAGAACUUGGUACCACCACUUUAAGGUACUUUAGGAAAAUCACAUGCUUUGUACCCCAUUGAAUGAGGUCAUUCCUGUUGAGUCUUUUGCAUUCCUUGGAUCAGUCAUGUUACUUCAGGUCUAGAGGAAUCAAUGGUCUAUUUUUAUGUCUUCAUUUCUUCAUUAAUUUAUGUGUGGAUGCAUGUGGUGUCUAUUUGGACGCCAAUAACCAGAGAUGUAAAUGAGUCAAAAGGCUUUGAAUGGUAUCACUGAGCUAAAUUAACUUGCUUUUGGGCAAGCAGCAGAUGUGAAUGAACGCCUUCAUUAAUGUAUUGAAGGCAAUACAGUAAAUAUUGACCUGAGUUUGAGGGGUAGAUAGCAGAAAGCAUUUGUCUUUUGACAGUGGUAGAGCCAAUAAUACUGAAGUCACUUCUGCAAUACUGCCAUCUCCCAUAGAAAGCCCCUUCUCCCUUGAAUAACAAACAUCAAAAGACACUUGGUUGAAAUCUUAGGUCCUACGAAAUGAAGGAGUACGAUGCUAUUCUCAUCAGGAUGACGGAUAUUGCCCUGCAGUGCCUGGUCCUGCAGACCCGCCUGGGAAGUGCUUCCAUUCUGCGCAGAAAGUAGUGAUGGAGGAGGAGAAGAUGUCAUGAAUGCGCUCCCUGCAUGAGUCGGGGUUUGGCCAAAGUGGGCUCCACUUGGGGUUGGAAGUGGUGUGGGAUGACAGAGCAGAGUCUGGUCCCUGUGCUGAGCUCCUCCACGUAUUCCACUGCUGAGGCCGGGGCCAGGAGAAUUGCCGGAGUGACUCCAAAACCAAAUUGAGGACAUGAAACAUUUGUCGCGUGGGAUGUGGGAGAAGGAAACCCAAGUAAUGAAAGAUUCUUGAUGUACUGUUUUGCAUAUUGCCUCUUAAUCCCUGUGUGUGUGCAAAGCUGCAACAAACUCAAAUAAACCAAAUGCAGUUUCUUGCUCCAGCACAGAAGGGACAGCUGGUUAUUAGCAGGUCAAGAUAAGCCCCUCGCCCAGUUAUUGGGGUGUCAUAAGCACAGACCUCUCUUUAGAAAGAAGCUAGGAAAAAGCAGUGGGAACGAAGCAGAAAAUGCAAAAGGAGAAUAAUUUUGAAGGUAUCUCAUAGGCAAAUGUUGACAGAAUGUGGGUUCUUCCCUCAUCCUCAAGGUGAGUCUGGUCAAGUUUGUAGCCUUUGAGGCACAAGGUAAUAAUAUCCAUUUGGCUAUUUGUUAGAGAGAAAGGUAGCAAAAUCAGCUCCAGAUUCCUAAAGAAACAACCACUUGCAUUAGUAUUUGGUUUUCAUAUACCCAUCACUCUUCUUUUUUUCUCCAGACUGUCUGCAAAACUUGGAUUAAUGCAACAGUUCAGGUUUUGUUUAAAAUCAUGUUAAUCUGUACUCACAUCAUAAGCAUAAAGAAAGGGAAAUAAACUGAGAUGGGAAAAUUAUCUGUGUGUCUUCAGCUGGAUUUAGCUUAAAACAAGCAGAACCUGUAGUUGAGUUUCUCUCCAUAUUCCUCCCUCUGUAUGCCCAGGUUGCCUUAGCAUCUGCCUGCACUUCUGCUGCUGCUUCAAUUUCUUCCUUUGCUUCUUUAGACUGUGUGCUCUCAACAGUGUUUCCCACCCCAGUUACGAACUGUCCUAUUGUUGGUGACCUUCUCCAAAAAGGGAAGGUGGUCAAAGGCAGCUAAAGGACAAGUGAGGAGGACAAAGAAAGACAAACUGACGAACCUUAGAAGAGGGAAAGACCCUUGACUGGGCCUUGCACGUGAGCAAUAACGAGCAGGACUUCCAUGAUUUAAGGGGGGAGUUGAGCCCGACUCCUGGCAUGUACUGGCCCUACGUGGCAGGACGCAGAUCUGUAUCAAUAACCCUGAAAUUUGUGGUGUGGUGUGGCAACAAACCACAACCAACGUUGUCAUUGCAGGGACACCUACUAAGCUUUGUGCCUGACCG